rnacentral:rRNA from 1 species
UAGUUACCAGCGAGUAAUGUCGGGGACUCUAAGUAGACUGCCGAUGACAAAUCGGAGGAAGGUGGGGAUGACGUCAAAUCAUCAUGCCCUUUAUGUCCUGGGCUACACACGUGCUACAAUGGUUGGUACAGAGGGCAGCUAUAUAGUGAUAUAAUGCAAAACUCGAAAGCCAAUCCCAGUUCGGAUUGUAGGCUGCAACUCGCCUACAUGAAGUCGGAGUUGCUAGUAAUCGCGGAUCAGAAUGUCGCGGUGAAUGCGUUCCCGGGUCUUGUACACACCGCCCGUCACACCAUGGGAGUUGAUAAUACCCGAAGCCUGUGACCUAAUUGAGGAGCAGUCGAAGGUAGGAUUGAUGACUGGGGUGAAGUCGUAACAAGGUAGCCGUAUCGGAAGGUGCGGCUGGAUCACCUCCUUUCUAAGGA